AUUGAACGCUGGCGGAAUGCUUUACACAUGCAAGUCGAACGGUAGAGGGGGCAACCCCUCGAGAGUGGCGAACGGGUGAGUAAUAUAUCGGAACGUGCCCAGUCGUGGGGGAUACCGUAGCGAAAGUUACGCUAAUACCGCAUACGAUCUAAGGAUGAAAGCGGGGGAUCGCAAGACCUCGCGCGAUUGGAGCGGCCGAUAUCAGAUUAGGUAGUUGGGGGGGUAAAGGCUCACCAAGCCAACGAUCUGUAGCUGGUCUGAGAGGACGACCAGCCACACUGGAACUGAGACACGGUCCAGACUCCUACGGGAGGCAGCAGUGGGGAAUUUUGGACAAUGGACGCAAGUCUGAUCCAGCCAUUCCGCGUGCAGGAUGAAGGCCCUCGGGUUGUAAACUGCUUUUGUACGGAGCGAAAAGGUCUCUCUUAAUACGGGGGACUCAUGACGGUACCGUAAGAAUAAGCACCGGCUAACUACGUGCCAGCCGCCGCUGUAA
rnacentral:rRNA from 1 species